rnacentral:misc_RNA from 1 species
GAUGAAGAACGUAGCGAAAUGCGAUAAGUAAUGCGAAUUGCAGAAUUCCAGUGAGUCAUCGAAUCUUUGAACGCACAUUGCGCCCCUUGGUAUUCCGAGGGGCAUGCCUGUUCGAGCGUCAUUAUCACCCCUCAAGCUCAGCUUGGUGUUGGGGCCGGCCCGUCACAGGGCCGCCCCUAAAAGCAGUGGCGGUGCCAUCUGGCUCUACGCGUAGUAAUACUCCUCGCGACAGAGUCCCGGUGGUGUCCUGCCAGAACCCCCCAUCUUUUAAUGAUUGACCUCGGAUCAGGUAGGGAUACCCGCUGAACUUAAGCAUAUCAAUAAGCGGAGGA